rnacentral:rRNA from 1 species
GAUCCUGGCUCAGGAUGAACGCUAGCGGCAGGCUUAACACAUGCAAGUCGAGGGGCAGCAUGAUAGGUAGCAAUACUUAUUGAUGGCGACCGGCGCAAGGGUGCGUAACGCGUGAGCAACUUGCCCGUUUCUGGGGAAUAACCGGUGGAAACGCCGACUAAUACCCCAUAGCAUUGACUUUGGGCAUCCUUAGUCAAUUAAAGAAUUUCGGAAACGGAUAGGCUCGCGUGACAUUAGCUAGAUGGCGGGGUAACGGCCCACCAUGGCGACGAUGUCUAGGGGUUCUGAGAGGAAGGUCCCCCACACUGGUACUGAGACACGGACCAGACUCCUACGGGAGGCAGCAGUGAGGAAUAUUGGUCAAUGGGCGAGAGCCUGAACCAGCCAAGUCGCGUGAGGGAAGACGGUCCUAUGGAUUGUAAACCUCUUUUGUCGGGGAGCAAGAGCUCUACGUGUAGAGUAGUGAGAGUACCCGAAGAAAAAGCAUCGGCUAACUCCGUG